GUUGCAGACGGUGAGGACACGUAACACUCCUUCUUAAUGUGGGGCCCAACUCGAGAAAUCGGGCUAAUCCCCAUAAAUCUUAGUGUGGCAUCACACAAGAUUAAACUCCGGUGGUAAGAGAUGGGUGUGCGUCUGAUUAGCUAGUUGGUAGGGUAACGGCUACCUAGGCGACGAUCAGUAACUGGUGUGAGAGCACGACCAGUCAACACGGGCACUGAGAUACGGGCCGACUCCUACGGGAGGCAGCAGUAAGGAAUAUUUGGUCCAUUGGGCGAAAGCCUGAACCAGCCAUGCCGCGUGCAGGAUGAAGGCCCUCUGGGUUGUAAACUGCUUUUAUCUGGGAAGAAACACCCCGUUUCUACGGGGCUUGACGGUACCAGGAGGGAAUAAGCACCGGCUAACUCCGUGCCCAGCAGCCGCGGUAAUACGGAGGGUGCAAGGCGUUAUCCGGAUUUACUGGGUUUAAAGGGUGCGUAGGCGGGCCUUUAAGUUCAGUGGGUGAAAUCUCCCGGGUUUAACCGGGGAAACUGCCAUUGAAUUACUUAUUGGGUCCUUGAAUUCCAAGUUUGAGGUGGGCGGAAUUGUGUCCGUGGUANGCGG
rnacentral:rRNA from 1 species